AUUGAACGCUGGCGGCAGGCCUAACACAUGCAAGUCGAACGAGUGGCGGACGGGUGAGUAAUGUCUGGGAAACUGCCUGAUGGAGGGGGAUAACUACUGGAAACGGUAGCUAAUACCGCAUACCAUCGGAUGUGCCCAGAUGGGAUUAGCUAGUAGGUGGGGUAACUGCUCACCAAGGCGACGAUCCCUAGCUGGUCUGAGAGGAUGAACAGCCACACGGGAAAGGAGACACGGUCCAGACUCCGACGGGAGGCAGCAGUGGGGAAUAUUGCACAAUGGGCGCAAGCAUGAUGCAGCCAUGCCGCGUGUAUGAAGAAGGCCUUCGGGUUGUAAAGUACUUUCAGCGGGGAGGCGUUACCCGCAGAAGAAGCACCGGCUAACUCCGUGCCAGCAGCCGCGGUAAUUC
rnacentral:rRNA from 1 species